ACCUCAACUGCAUUUCCGCUGGCGCUCCACCGCUGGAAGCUGCGUCUUGCGGCCUAGUUGCCGCGAACCGUGCAGCAUCUUCUCUCGUCGUCCACUAUGACCUGCAGCCGACAGUCCCGGCGCCCUGGGUGAGUAAUUGCGGGGUCGCACUGCCCAGGGACCCCCGGCGGCCUCCAAGGCCGGUGCUCCGUCUCCCCGCCCCCGACAGGAGGGGAAACUGAGGCCUGAGAUGGGGGGAGCUCCAGCCGCAGGUCACCUCGGAGCCCUUGUUCGCUCCCUGUUCUGAGCCCGUCCCCCCUGCCGCGUGUGGACCUUUCGGGACUCGUGUCCUAGACAAAGAGGCCUCGGGUCACCGCGCCACCGGCCGGCGCCGGUUCGGAGCGUGAGGUCCCCUGGCCUCACCCGCCCCGUGGGGAGACUUGUGCUCGCUGAUGUCGAGAGACCGGUCGGGUGACGCGUGGGCCCGAGGUCCCGCAGGGGGUCGUGCAGAGCCCGUGUGAACCUGGCCCGAGGGGCGCCAGAACCCCUGAUUCACUGCCCAUCAUCUCCGACUCUAGCGUUUCAGGCCCCAAAGCCGCUCGUCGGUUACCGGUCAAAUACUCUGGGGGGAAACAGCAAGCAGUCGGGAGGGCAGAGGCCUGGUCUGUGUCUUUGAACCCCAGUGCCUGGCAAGUGGUCAGUGUGUGAGUUUUGCCUCUCCGCAGCCUCAGUGCCUGGCAGGUGUCCGGUGCUCAGCAACUGUGCAACAACUGCCCAGGAGGAAAGAAGGAAAGGACAGACGCAUCCCGGUGAGGUGGCAUGGCCCAUCAUGUCAUGGAGAAUCAGGGGAAGACUGCUUGUGAGCCAGCCAGCCAGGGGAGAGGUGGGGGCACUUCCUGUGUUUCCUUUUCUUGGAAUUGUUCUUCUUGUUGGCCAGUAUUUAUCCCUUGGAGGUCCCUUGGCAUGAGAUGGAGCCCAGUCCACCAGGGGAGACUUUCCCCAUGGCCUGCAGUUAUGGUGGCAGGAACCAGAGCAGUAUUGCACUUGGACAAGGCUUCAAUAGACACCAGACCUCACCUCUGCAGGCAGCCUGAGGUGCCUCUACCCCUCCUACCCCACCCCUGGGUCAAGGCCAGACCAGGCCAGGCAGGUGCUGCACGCUCCCAGACCUGUCCUGGACUUUUAUCCUGUUCAAGAUCCAGCUUCCAGAAACUGUACAGUGUCAUUAGAGUUUGCACAAAAGAUGAUCUGAAAAGGCCUCUGCCUCAGAUGCAGAUGAGCUGUUGUCCCAUGUGGAGUUAUAACUUCCGUCCUGUUCAUGAGUGGUGGCGUGGCUCGUGGGUGGUACCAGCAGCGCAUGUUUGUGAAGUGGCCGCGAUGCACGUACUCGGCCUGGGCUUCCCAGCACGUGCUGUGGCCAGGUGGGAUCUAGGUCACUCAUCCAGGGCUUCUCGAUUGUUGCAGAGGAGACCCUUGAGAUGUGUCCCCAUCCUGUCAAGAAGUGGCUGGACCACGUGCUGCUGAGAUGAGUCCACUGUGUGCAGAGGUGUCAUGGAACUUGUCAUCAGGAGUGGUCUAGACCCCAGUGUCCUUGAGG